AUCCUACCCUGAAAAUGAAAGUUCAAAUCAUCUCCCAGAUAGAAAUUUGCAAAAUGAAAUUAAGAAAGAUUAGUCGUUGAAUUUGAAAACAUUCCCUGAGAAGCAGACGAGCCUGGGAAAGAAGUGAAAAACAUUACGUCAAGAAACUUACAAAUGACGUACAACAGACAAUAGUCAAAAGGAAAUGAACAAUUUUUAAAACUAUACCUUUAUUUCCUGCACUUGAAGAGAAAGUGCUCUUAGUUCUAUUUUUAACGAGUUUCCUCAUCUAGAAAAUUUAUUGGAAUCCUCAGACAUGCUUAUUACAAAGUUAAAAACCAGUGUUAUGCAGUGUGUGGAAGGGGGGUGGGGGCGGUGGUGGAAGAGGCCCUCUUCUACCUUUGAAAUGGAUAAUUUUAAAAGGUUAAAAGGGCACUAUUGACAAGAACGUCAAGAGAGCCCCCCAUCUGAUAAAUUCAAUUCUACAGCACUGGUGUUAUGAUAAUUCAAGUUUAACCUGUUCAUCUUGAACGCAGUGGAAAAGAAAGAUCAGCAAUCCUUGAGUGGAAUUAAGAAUAGCGAAAAGAUAACGGAAAAUCAUUGUCUCGUGAUUGAACGUCAUCAAACCGAAGACCCAUGUCAACCCAAGAACAGGAAGCAAAACCAUUGCCUUUUUAACUCCAAUUUUUACUUUGUGCAUGUUAUCUUGUUGUUGAUCAUUUUGUGAGUUGAUCAAUUUGGGCAUUACCAUGAUGAAAACGACCGUGUUAACCUGAAAUUACAAUUAUUAUUAAAUUAUCAAUCAGGGUUAACCUGAAAAUACAA